rnacentral:misc_RNA from 1 species
CCUCCUUAUACGAUUUAGAACUUAUUUGUUCGUAGUGUCCACACAGAUGAUUGUUAGUUAGUUUUACCCUUUGGGUUAACUAAUUAAUAUGCUCUUUAAAAAUUUGGAAAAGCUGAUAAUAAAAUUCGUAUGAAUAACAUUGUUAUUUGUACAGAGUUUUCAAAAGUAAAAAAGAAUGAUAGCAGUAUCAUUCAGUGCCAAUUUAAUCCUCGGAUUAAUUGGUAUCUACUUUAGUAUUCAAUAUUAACUUCUGGCGAAGUUAAACUGUCACGAAACAAAGACCCGUUUGGGUUGUAUGGUUAAGUGACUAAGCGUACACGGUGGAUGCCUUGGCAGUUGGAGGCGAUGAAGGACGUAUUAACUUGCGAUAAGCCUAGUCAAGCUAGUAAAAAGCACUUGAGACUAGGAUUUCCGAAUGGA